AAGUCGUAACAAGGUUUCCGUAGGUGAACCUGCGGAAGGAUCAUUAAAAGUGAUUGGUUAUACAUUUCAUGUAUCAACUGCAUUAACCAUCCUGAGUACCUUGUCUGUUGCUUCCAUGGGCCUGCACCUAGGUCACUCUUGUGAUGUGAAACCAACGAGAGUCCCAUGGACGUAGGUACAUUAAAUUCAUGUAUCCAAUGCCUUCUGUCUGAACUGUUUAUAACAAAUGUUAAAA
rnacentral:misc_RNA from 1 species